UGUAAGAACGACUUCCAAUUCCGUGCUAAGGACUUUACUGAAUAAAAAACCAGCAACAACCCCUUUGACGGAAACGAAGAUUAAAUCAGAGAAUGCCCCUCAGUCGAAUGAAGCGACUCUGUCAAAACAAGACACGACAGUUAAAUCGGAAAUACCUUUUAAAAGGUAAUGAUACACACUAUAUUUUAUUUUUUUAGUUAUGCUUAUUUUGUAAAAUAAUACCAAUAUCCUAAGAAAAAAUCGGACGCAUUAUUAUUAUUAUUUUUUCGGUUUUUUUUAUCAUUUUAGAUACACAUCCGCUAGUACCACUAGUUGUACAUACUCUCCUCCUGACGAUGAGAACUGGCCACCUGCAGCAAGUUCACCAUUUGCAAAUGUCGAGGAUUCUAUCCUAACGACUUUAAGGAGAAAGAAUCCCAAUAAAUACGAAGCAUUGAAUCGGAGGAUAACAGAGCCAAGGGCCACCGCUACGCGGGAAUUUAAAGUUUUAAAAGCCCUCCAGAAAAGAAUAGUCCAAGACAUGCAGCAAAGUGAGAUAAUAGUUAAUUAUCUCACUGACAAAUAUGAAGAUGAACCCGAGAAGAAGCGGGUGAAGUUUUCUUAAAUUCCAUUGGAAAUUGGAUUGUGAAAUGAACAAAAUAUACAGCAGUGAGAAAUAAUAACUUGAAGAUCUCACGGGCAAAUAUAGUGAUGAACUUCAAGCGAACCGUGUUACUUUUUUGUGUGUUUUUUUUACAUACGUCAGAAAUUUGUUUUAGAUAUUGCUCGUGAAAUGAAUAAAACGGUAUUGACCUUGUUUUCUUUUCUGUUGUAAUAUACUGAAAUUAUGGUUUGGAGAAAAAAAAGUAUUUUCCCAAGGUAACAAUAUGAGACAGCGGGAUACACUAAGUUUAAAGAUGUUUUUAC